GAUGAACGCUGGCGGCGUGCCUAAUACAUGCAAGUCGAGCGAACGGACGAGAAUCUUGCUUUUCUGAUGUUAGCGGCGGACGGGUGAGUAACACGUGGAUAACCUACCUAUAAGACUGGGAUAACUUCGGGAAACCGGAGCUAAUACCGGAUAAUAUUUUGAACCGCAUGGUUCAAAAGUGAAAGACGGUCUUGCUGUCCUCUAUAGAUGGAUCCGCGCUGCAUUAGCUAGUUGGUAAGGUAACGGCUUACCAAGGCAACGAUGCAUAGCCGACCUGAGAGGGUGAUCGCCCACACUGGAGCUGAGACACGGUCCAGACUCCUACGGGAGGCAGCAGUAGGGAAUCUUCCGAAAUGGGCGAAAGCCUGACGGAGCAACGCCGCGUGAGUGAUGAAGGUCUUCGGAUCGUAAAACUCUGUUAUUAGGGAAGAACAUAUGUGUAAGUAACUGUGCACAUCUUGUCGGUACCUAAUCAGAAAGCAACGGCUAACUACGUG
rnacentral:rRNA from 1 species